rnacentral:rRNA from 1 species
AGGACGAACGCUGGCGGCGUGCUUAACACAUGCAAGUCGAGCGGAAAGGCCCUUCGGGGUACUCGAGCGGCGAACGGGUGAGUAACACGUGAGCAACCUGCCCCCUGGCUCUGGGAUAGCCUCCGGAAACGGGGAUUAAUACCGGACAUUCACUUUCUUCCGCAUGGUCGGGAGUGGAAAGUUUUUCGGCCAGGGAGGGGCUCGCGGCCUAUCAGCUUGUUGGCGGGGUAACGGCCCACCAAAGGCGACGACGGGUAG